CUCUUGGGAAGUCCUCGUGUUGCACCCC
rnacentral:rRNA from 1 species